rnacentral:rRNA from 1 species
CCUACGGGUGGCAGCAGUGGGGAAUAUUGGGCAAUGGGCGCAAGCCUGACCCAGCAACGCCGCGUGAAGGAAGAAGGCUUUCGGGUUGUAAACUUCUUUUAUCCGGGACGAAGCAAGUGACGGUACCUGAUGAAUAAGCCACGGCUAACUACGUGCCAGCAGCCGCGGUAAUACGUAGGUGGCAAGCGUUAUCAGGAUUUACUGGGUGUAAAGGGCGUGUAGGGGGGAAAGUAAGUCAGAUGUGAAAACCAUGGGCUCAACCUGUGGCCUGCAUUUGAAACUGUUUUUCUUGAGUAUUGGAGAGGCAGACGGAAUGCCUGGUGUAGCGGUGAAAUGCGUAGAUAUUAGGCGGAACACCAGUGGCGAAGGCGGUCUGCUGGACAGCAACUGACGCUGAGGCGCGAAAGCGUGGGGAGCAAACAGGAUUAGAUACCCUAGUAGUC